rnacentral:pre_miRNA from 11 species
UGAAACUGAGUCCCUUGAGUUAGCAUAGUAGAUCUCUUAACCGAGCAUAAAAAGAAAACCGGUUUAGGAGAACUACUGUGCUUAACUCAAACGACUUGGCCAGG